GUGGGGAAUUUUGGACAAUGGGCGAAAGCCUGAUCCAGCAAUGCCGCGUGUGUGAAGAAGGCCUUCGGGUUGUAAAGCACUUUUGUCCGGAAAGAAAUGGCUCUGGUUAAUACCUGGGGUCGAUGACGGUACCGGAAGAAUAAGGACCGGCUAACUACGUGCCAGCAGCCGCGGUAAUACGUAGGGUCCAAGCGUUAAUCGGAAUUACUGGGCGUAAAGCGUGCGCAGGCGGUUGUGCAAGACCGAUGUGAAAUCCCCGAGCUUAACUUGGGAAUUGCAUUGGUGACUGCACGGCUAGAGUGUGUCAGAGGGGGGUAGAAUUCCACGUGUAGCAGUGAAAUGCGUAGAGAUGUGGAGGAAUACCGAUGGCGAAGGCAGCCCCCUGGGAUAACACUGACGCUCAUGCACGAAAGCGUGGGGAGCAAACAGGAUUAGAUACCCGAGUAGUCC
rnacentral:rRNA from 1 species